AGGGUGUAAACGCUGCAGACUUGGUGUUGGGAACCCUUCGGGGGUGCUCAGUGCCGGAGAGAAGUUGUUAAGUCUGCUACUUGGGGAGUACGUCCGCAAGGAUGAAACUUAAAGGAAUUGGCGGGGGAGCACCGCAACGGGAGGAGCGUGCGGUUUAAUUGGAUUCAACGCCGAAAAACUCACCAGCAGCGACUGUUACAUGAAGGCCGAGAUAGAAGACUCUGCUAGUAUUUCAGAGAGGUGGUGCAUGGCGUCAGUGACU
rnacentral:rRNA from 1 species